CUGCAGGUCCAGCCCAAACGCUAGCCUGUCCUCAGACCCCCCAACCCAGGCCAGGGCCACCUCCUGCCCCCGGGCCCGCUGCACGCUCUGUGUUGGCUCCAGCGCUCUGACUGCCGCACCUUCUCCAGCCCAGCACAGCACCUGGGCCGGGUGGAACCGCGUUCUGAGUGCAAAGAAUGGAAGUGAUCUUCAACUGGCGGCGGGAAACGUGGACGCAAGUCAGCCCAGCGUCGGGCAUGAAAGGAGUGUGGGUUGACACAGACUCACGGCUCGUGAAACCCCCAGGCAUCAGCGCAUGUGUGUACACUGUAUCUCCAUGUGUGUGCACACUGUAUUACCACAUGUGUGCGCACAAAACCUCCAUGCAUGUGCACACCGUACUUCCAGGUGUGUGUACACCAUGCCUCCACAUGUGUGCACAUCACACUUCCACACGUGUGCACACCAUACUUCCAGGUGUGUGCACACUGUACUGCCACACGUGUGCACACCAUACUUCCAGGUGUGUGCACACUGUACUGCCAUGCAUGUGCACACUGUACCUCCAGGUGUGUGCACACUGUACCUCCACACGUGUGCACACCAUACCUCCAGGGGUGUGCACACCGUACCUCCACGCGCGUGCCCACCGUACCUCCAGGGGUGUGCACACUGUACCUCCAGGGGUGUGCACACCAUACCUCCAUGAACAUGCACACUGUACCUCCAGGGGUGUGCACACUGUGCCUCUACCCAGCCCUUCCCUCCAAGCCAUAGGUUGCUGCCUGCAGUGGCGUCUCACGGGCGGCUUGCCCGUGUGUUCUCAGGGCCUGAACUCAGAGGAGUGGAGGGUCACUGUGGCCAGGACAGGCACUAGUUCUGUGAUCUGGCUUCAUCCUCUUCACGGCUGUCACAGCAGUUCCCUGCGGAUAACAACUCUGAACAAGCUGCAGGAAUUAAACCAAACAAAAGCACGGCGUGGGGAUGAGUGCCCGCGUCCAGGUGCACGGCCUCCGUGAGGUGUCCGGGAGCCCAGGGACAGGCACUGUGUGGGGAUGAGUGCCCACGUCCGGGUGCACGGCCUCCGUGAGGUGGCCGGGAGCUCAGGGACAGGCACUAUGUGGGGAUGAGUGCCCACGUCCAGGUGCAUGGACUCCGUGAGGUGGCCAGGAGCCCAGGGACAGUGGCUGCUGAUGCCUGGGCUCAGGUUUCCUGCAAGGAUGCCUCUCUCAUGAAAUCUCCGGAUUGUUUGGGUUUCCGUCCAGCGUUAAAGCCUAUUAUGACUGAGACAGGGAGGCAGGCAGCCGCUGACAUCAGCCCGUAAAGAAUCGGGGAGUAUCAGCCAUCCAGAGCCAGUCUCUGGGGUACAUGGGGAUAUGUUGUGGGCUCUGCGUGAGAGAACCCUCGCCAGGCGUGAAAUUGGGGCAGACGCCAGCUGACAGCUCCCACAGCCUUGCGCCCAGUGCCGAGUCUGCAGCUCUGCCCGCUGUUUGUGGUGAAUGUCCUCUGAUGCCUCCUGUCCCGUUGUGUUCCUGCAGUCUCCAUUUCCCUAACAGACACGCCCCAGGCCUGCGGGUCCACAGACCUGCCCACCCCCAGGCCUGCCCAUCAGUCCCCAGGCCUGCUGGCCCCCAGGCCUGCCUACCCCCCAGACCUGCCCACCCCCCAGGCCUGCUGGUCCCUGCACCUGCCCAUACCCAGGCCCACCGGUCCCCACGCAUCUCCAUGCCUCUACCUCCCACCUGGAAGCCCCUGUGCUCAAACCUCAGGCUCCUCUCACGUCUCCUCACCAGGCAGCCCUGUGUCUGCGUCACCUACAAAGCACUCAGGCAAUGGCCCGCAGCCUGUCGGGAACAGGGACUGCUAACCAGUCAGCUCUGUUCUCUCUUCUCAGACAGUGCAGGGACAGAGGGAAGACUGAGCACCAGUCCACAGGCAGCAGCCGGCACAGCGCCGGUGUAGUCGGUGACUCCCGCCCCGGCCACACACACAGAGCACCUGGGCCCCAGGCUGUGCCGCCCCCACCUGCAGGAGGCCCAGGAGCAGUGCUGGUUUCUCACUCAGCAGACCAGCGUGGAGGCAGAGCAUGACAAACACAGACGCAAGCAAACUGUCGGCUCUCCCAAGUCUGCCCACGUGCUUCCUUCAGGCCAGGAAUUGUUCCUCUUUAAAAAAAUCAAAAUAAAACUCAGAACAAAGGUCA
ensembl:lncRNA